rnacentral:lncRNA from 1 species
AUCCGAAGAAGGAUCUGACGAUGAUGAUGAAGAUUAGGGGAUCUCUGAAGAUGGCGACUCUUGCUGGGUGCUUUUUAGCAUCCACUUCUCAUGCGGGACCCUCAGAUCUGAUGCCUCAUGCUCCAUCCACAGCAUAGAUCCUCCAAUCCAUGGUAGAAUACUUGAGAAACCUUCUAUCGUCAGCGGAGAGGUUAUUCCUCAAUGAA